GAUGAACGCUGACAGAAUGCUUAACACAUGCAAGUCUUUGGCGAAGCUGUGCUUGCUCAGCCUAGCCAAGGCGGACGGGUGAGUAACGCGUAAGGAACUUGCCCUGCAGUCAGGGAUAACAGACGGAAACGACUGAUAAGACCUGGUAAAGUCAGGCGGACUCAUGUCCAGCCUGAUGAAAAGAGACGCUGCAGGAGAGCCUUGCGUCCUAUUAGCUUGUUGGUGGGGUAACGGCCCACCAAGGCGAUGAUAGGUAGCCGGCCUGAGAGGGUGGACGGCCACAAGGGGACUGAGAUACGGCCGUUACUCCUACGGGGGGCAGCAGUGGGGAAUAGUGGACAAUGGGGGCAACCCUGAUCCAGCAAUUCUGUGUGCAAGAUGAAGGUUUUCGGAUUGUAAAGUGCUUUCAGCAGGGAAGAAAAAAAUGACGGUACCUGCAGAAGAAGCGACGGCUAAAUACGUG
rnacentral:rRNA from 1 species